UACGUAGGGGGCUAGCGUUGUCCGGAAUCAUUGGGCGUAAAGAGCGUGUAGGCGGCCAGGUAGGUCUGGUGUGAAAACUCGAGGCUUAACCUCGAGAUGUCAUCGGAAACCAUUUGGCUAGAGUCCGGAAGAGGAGAGUGGAAUUCCUGGUGUAGCGGUGAAAUGCGCAGAUAUCAGGAAGAACACCAAUGGCGAAAGCAGCUCUCUGGGACGGUACUGACGCUGAGACGCGAAAAGCGUGGGGGAGCGAACAGG
rnacentral:rRNA from 1 species